rnacentral:rRNA from 1 species
GAGUUUGAUCCUGGCUCAGAACGAACGCUGGCGGCGUGCCUAACACAUGCAAGUCGAACGUGAUCCAGAGCUUGCUCUGGUGAAAGUGGCGCACGGGUGAGUAACGCGUGGAUAACCUACCCUGGUAUCCGGGAUAACAUUCCGAAAGGGGUGCUAAUACCGGAUAAGCCCACGGGCUCUUUGGAGCUUGCGGGAAAAGGUGGCCUCUAUUUAUAAGCUACUGUAUCAGGAUGGGUCCGCGUACCAUUAGCUAGUUGGCGGUGUAACGGACCACCAAGGCGACGAUGGUUAGCUGGUCUGAGAGGAUGAUCAGCCACACUGGAACUGAGACACGGUCCAGACUCCUWCGGGAGGCAGCAGUGGGGAAUUUUGCGCAAUGGGGGAAACCCUGACGCAGCAACGCCGCGUGAGUGAUGAAGGCCUUUGGGUCGUAAAGCUCUGUCAGAGGGGAAGAAAUGAUAUAGUGCUAAUACCACUUUAUCUUGACGGUACCCUCAAAGGAAGCACCGGCUAACUCCGUGCCAGCAGCCGCGGUAAUAC